rnacentral:tRNA from 1 species
GGGCCGGUAGUUCAACCUGGUAGAAUGCCUGCCUCGCACGCAGGAGGUCGGGGGUUCAAAUCCCCCCCGGUCCA